rnacentral:lncRNA from 1 species
CGCCAAGCCCCCCGCUGAGUUCCGAGUCUCCGCCAAACUCCGAGCCUCCGCCGACCUCUGAGUGUCCGCCGAACAUCAAUCUUCCGCUGAGAUCAAGUGUCCAAUCACCGCUGUCUCCGCCGACCUCCAAGUCAGGACCAGCUCCGCUCCGCCAACCCGCAACGCAACAGCCUCCUCUGGCAUACGCCGCUGGCAUCAGUCUGCGGACACCACUGGCCACCACUUCCAGCGCUAGCCUCAGCGGCUCCGCUCAGCUCUGCAAACUUUGGCGGCAAACCAGCGGCAGCCAGCCCCGCUAGCCUCAGCGGCUCCGCUCGUAUCCAUCAGCGGAAUCUCCCUUCCGCUAGGCAAGCUUCUGAGCUUCAAUCUCCAUCAGCGGCCAUGCUCCUUCAGCGACGUAAAUAUCCGGCAGCGGUAACUCUACUCCGCUAAGCAUCACAGCUGGGAAAUCUCCACCGCCAACUAUGGCCAACUUACCGCCGAGCUCCUCCGCCGGCCAGGUUCCGCUGAGCAACUCCACUGAAUAACUGUACACCGCCAAACUUCUUCAGCGGCACCGCCGAUCUCAGUCAACGGUAACACCGGCCAUGUUCCGCUGGUCUCCACUGCUGGAUUUCACCGCUGAACAUCCCCACGAGCUUCUCUGCCGGACUUCAACACUAGGCUUCACCGCUGGGCAACCCCGUAACUUCAAUCUGCCAAUCACCUAGAACUACUUUGGGCACCCAUUCAAUCUCGUAGUCCCUCCGUGCUGCUGGUUCCGCGGCCUCAUGAUUUUGAUCUCUGGGUGCAGCUUAUCACCUAAACAUUGGUCAAAGCC